GUGCUUGCAUUGACAGAACAUGUACUGAAACAGGAACCAUGCAGAGACAUAUGUGGCUCCUGUAAAAGGAUGAAAAGCACAUUCAUGAAGUGGUCCAUAUCUUU
ensembl:snRNA U6 U6 spliceosomal RNA